CCACAGCAGACCCCACGCCUGUCGUUUAAACUGAUCACCUGAUCUGUGAUAUAAGGAGCUGGACCAGGACAAACAUCUCAGUGUCAGCACCACCAUGAGACUCGCCGCCUUGCUGCUCCUGCUGUGCCUGUGCUCUGCUGCGAUGGCUUUGCAAUCUCAAUCUCCAACCAACCCAGCAUUCAAGUUAUCUACUUCGGGAGAUGUGCACCCAAAAGCUACGCGGGGACACAUGAGAGUAGCAAGAGGAUAUGGAGGAGGAAGAUUUGGAGCAGAAAGAGGAUUAGGAGGGUUAUUAGGUGGAUACAGACAAUACGGAGGAUGAUGUUUCAGGACUUGGCAAAUUGGCCAAAAGGACCAAACCAGACCAAUCAUUGCCAUGAAAGAAGAAGUCAGAGAAUGUCUAUUAGUUUAGAAUAAAAACCAAACCCAUUGCAGCUAAC